UAUCCGGAAUUAUUGGGCGUAAAGGGCUCGUAGGCGGUUCGUCGCGUCCGGUGUGAAAGCCCAUCGCUUAACGGUGGGUCUGCGCCGGGUACGGGCGGGCUGGAGUGCGGUAGGGGAGACUGGAAUUCCCGGUGUAACGGUGGAAUGUGUAGAUAUCGGGAAGAACACCAAUGGCGAAGGCAGGUCUCUGGGCCGUUACUGACGCUGAGGAGCGAAAGCGUGGGGAGCGAACAGGAUUAGAUACCCUGGUAGUCCACGCCGUAAACGGUGGAUGCUGGAUGUGGGGCCCGUUCCACGGGUUCCGUGUCGGAGCUAACGCGUUAAGCAUCCCGCCUGGGGAGUACGGCCGCAAGGCUAAAACUCAAAGAAAUUGACGGGGGCCCGCACAAGCGGCGGAGCAUGCGGAUUAAUUCGAUGCAACGCGAAGAACCUUACCUGGGCUUGACAUGUUCCCGACAGCCGUAGAGAUAUGGCCUCCCUUCGGGGCGGGUUCACAGGUGGUGCAUGGUCGUCGUCAGCUCGUGUCGUGAGAUGUUGGGUUAAGUCCCGCAACGAGCGCAACCCUCGCCCUGUGUUGCCAGCACGUCAUGGUGGGAACUCACGGGGGACCGCCGGGGUCAACUCGGAGGAAGGUGGGGAUGACGUCAGAUCAUCAUGCCCCUUACGUCCAGGGCUUC
rnacentral:rRNA from 1 species